rnacentral:rRNA from 1 species
AUGGACCAGCCGCGGUCGAAGAUGGCGGAGGACAUGGCGGCGCAGCGGGCGGCGUGCGAGCGGCAGAUGGCCGCCGGCCGAGACCGCUUCGCCUCCGCCUCGGCGGCCGUCCGCGCCGCCACCCUCUCCGCCCGCUCCGGCGCCCACCAGUCCCUCUCCCGCCGAGAGGACCUCGACGGACUCAAGAAGCGGCUGCGGGACCUGGGAGCUGACCUAGGGCAAGCUCUGUCCGUUAAACUCGUCAUGGAGUCGAAAUGCGAGAAACUCAGGGAGUCGAUUUCAGCCUCGGCUGCUACAAGUGAGCAGCUAGGUGACCUGGUCACCAAUCAGAGGAACAGGAGCGAGCGGCAUGCCGCGGUCAUAUCGGAUGUCCUCGAGGCUGCUGAGGCUUUCGAAGCAAAGAAUGAUGAAGAUGUUACACAGUUGAAAGACAUGGAAAAGGCUAUCUGCUGGUAUCAAAAGCGCCUUGGCUUCCAGCCCGUUGUUGAAGGGGAAGGUGUGAAAUUCGUAUUUGACAAGGUUGACUUGCAAAGUCCUGAGAAAGAGUUUUCAUUUUCCUUAAAGUUUGACGGUGAUAGAUAUACCUUACUUCGAUGUAGUCCACCCGUGGAAGAUUCUGAGGAACUGGUGAAGGAUUUGAACCUCACUAACGAUCUAAUCAAGUUUGUAAGAAUAAUCCGACAGAGGUUCCAGGCUGCUGCUUUGAAUGGGGAUCUUCCUGUAAGCCCAACAGUUUGUUCAGAUGCUUCCGCUAUACCCAUCUCAUCUCCGGUGAUAAAGUCAGUUGACUCCAGAAGCAAAAAUGAUAGAGAUAGAAGUAAUUCUCAAAGUAAGAACAGGAAGCCGGCUCUUCCUGCUAAGAGAAAAGCUUCUGCCCUAUCGGUAGCAUCUCCUGUUUCUGUGCGUCGCUCCCCGCGUUUUGUGGGGAACGAGGGAGUUGCCAGCUGA